UUAAUGUGUAUUUAUUUGUAUCCAGAAAUACAAAUGUUGGGAUCAAAAUACGAAUAUAAAUAGUAUUCUAGAUGCACAGCCCUACUCCUUAACACAAAGUAAAGUGGAAUAGAUGUGGUCAAUAGGGCAAAGUCAUUUUCUGAGAACUUGAGGAGAUGAAGCACACAGGUGUUUGACUUUUCUGGUUAGGUCAUUCUGGGGGAUCACUAGGAUGGCUAUCUAACUUAGAAUGACAAACUGAUACUAGUGCUACCUGUAUUAUUCAAGGCACAUUGGGCACAUAAUUGUACUUUCAUUUCACUAUGACAUCACAAGCUGCACUGCUAGCAAAGAAAUCACAGACCCCUAAGAAAAACUUAGUAAGGAAGGAUAAUUAGAAAUCUAAAGUUGUAUUUGUGUUCAAUAAGAAAAUUCAAUUUGGCACAUACUUGGCAGAGUUUAUGUGAUUACUAAAAUUGCACUCACCUGAAAAUAAUAAAAAAAAAAUCCAUAUGUUGUCAAGUAUUGGAAGAAAAAAAUGUUUUGAAAAGAGCAUACUGAGAGUUUAAAACAGGAUUGUAUGAGACAGUUGGUGACUGCCUGUGAUAGUCACAGACUGGACUCAGAUUCCUUACAGCCUGAUGUUCCUACCUGUGACAACCACCUGUUGGCUCAUGAUUCAGGGUUACUAUUGCACACGAGCAUGAAUGACAAUAAAGUCACAGGACUCCUUAAAAACUAUAAAAGAGAAUAUGGAGGCUGAUACUGUAAUCUCUCUGCACAAGAUUUGCCACUUUUUUUCAGGGGAGCAUAGCUUUGUGGAAAGUUAUUCUGAAAUGUUGUUCCCUUUUGGAGCACUCUGGUAGUGUUGUACUUCACCAUUCUGCCUGUGUAAUUCUAUUGUAUGCAAUUAUUCUACCAACUUUCUAUGAAUUCAAAAGGAGCUCACACUGUAAUGAUCCCAUAUUGUCUUUAUGUAUAGAAUAGACUGUAACAUGCUCUUUGCCGCAUUCCUUUCUCAGCGAUAUUUUUCAAAUCUGGUGUCAAUAUCAGUAUCUCCAUUUUCUUUGAAGGUGCAACUUAGAAAUUUUUGCAUUUACCUGUUCUAGGCCUCUUACUUUACAUACAUAAAUUGCAAACCUCUAUCUGUGCUUUUAGGCCAGUCAAUGGGUAGUCAACCCAUCCAGAACAAAGCUCUUCCCUUUUGCGUGUAAGAAUAUUUUAACCUAACUCCCUCUUCUGGUCAACAGCAUUGGUUGAUGAGUUUUUGACUCAGGUAGACCUGGAGACCUUCUCUUUUAAAACUAGUAAUCAUAACACAGUCUCAAUAACAAUCAGUCACCAGCUUCACUGUGGAUAUUUCAUCCUUUGUAUUUUAUAAUAUAUUGUGUCUGUACAACUUCACCUAUCCCAAACAUUGCCAAAGGCUGCAAGAAGGUAAAGAAACACUAAGAGAAUAUUGAUUGCCUUGAAGAAGCUGUUGGAAUUACUAAUGGGGGCACUUGGGUUCCCCUACAGGAAGCUCUGCAGCCUGGCUUAGGCUUCCAAGAAAAGCUGAAUUCUGUGAGUGCUUUGAUGGCAUCAAAUAGGCUGUUGUGGCUUCUCUGGCUAGUGUCAUUCGUUACCUAGAUAAAAAAAUACCUGCAUUACUGCCUGGUUUGCCUGUCUCAGUCCUUGAGAAAUCCUGUUGAAGGCAUAUGAAUAAACAUAAGCACAGAUCUUCCACUCUUUUACUUUGUCCUUCAUAAACAGCAAAUGAUUAGAAGAUCAGAACACAUGCUUUGACAGAAAGUAGAGUAUUCUCAAGUGUCUAGCUUUGAAGCACAGAACUUCAGGAUGAAUUUUAUUGUCUAAUUUCAUAUAUAUUCUGGGAAAACCCUCGAGGAAUCUAGAUACAUACAGACACUGACUUGAGGACCCACAACAAAAGAGAAAAACUAACAGAAAGUAAAGCUUGUAGAAAGGAAUGCAUAAUAACAGAACUUGGAUAUAUCUCUUGAGGAAUGAUAUUGGAAACUAGCGAAGUGCUGGAAGUCAAUCAUAAUCCAAAACCAUUUAAACAAACAGCUACUAGGUAAAUUGGAUUAUUAGAACCCAUAUUUAGGAGUUAUUGUUAAGCCCUAAUUUAGAACUUAGUCCUAGACUGUGUUAUAGGGCAUCAUAUCUCUUCCAGUAAGCCACCACAGGUACACUGUAUAAAAUUUCACUAACUUGUCAAAGCAAUAAUUCUUUUUUUUUUUUUUUUUUCUGUUAAAACAUGAUUUCGUUAUAGAUACAAAACAUUGCUUUAUUUUUAACAUCCAAAACAAUUGCCUAAAUUAAGAGAAAAGUAGAUUCUCUGUUUAUUCUUUCCAGACAAACCAUGAAUCCCUAGGGAAAAGGCAAGAGUAUUAAGGCCACUGAGUCUUGAAGGAAGGCCUUUAUUUUUCGCUUAUGUACAGGUGUCCCUGAAGAAGACAACAGGCAGAAAAUCUUAUAUACAUAUAAAUAGGCUAUAAGACUAAUGCCACUAUGCUUUUUCCAGUAUGGAAGUGAAAGUUUCAAACCUUGCUAUUGAAUAGGUUAGAAAUCAGAAUAUUUCUGCUGUGAUGUGAUACAGCCUGCUACUGGAUCAGUGGCACUUUUAAACACUGUUUCCAGCAGACCCUAUAUGAAAAUAAAUGACAUAUGCUCUCCCCAGAUUGUUUUCUCCUGUGUUCCCCUGUGUUUUCUCUUGCCUUGUGUCACCACAACCAAGUGGUAAGUCAUUAGUGAAGGACCAUUGCAGGAUGGCCACUGUGCAUGAGUCAAUGUUUCAAUCUGUUGGCUCCUCCUCAAAUAUCUUCUAGAAAUACACAGUAAAUAUUUUGUAAAAGUUGGCAAUGAAUGCCUUACUAAAAGAACACCCUGUUCUUUGUGCUCUGCUCUGAGCAAUUAGAUGGUAACACUGUUAGCAGCACUUGCUACUAGUGGUGGAGCAAAGUAAGAGGUAGAAAUUAAAAGAAAAUAAAAGAGGAUUAGAAAAAUAAAAUAGAGAAAAUGAAGA